rnacentral:rRNA from 1 species
GACGAACGCUGGCGGCGUGCUUAACACAUGCAAGUCGAACGGAAAGGCCCUGCUUUUGUGGGGUGCUCGAGUGGCGAACGGGUGAGUAACACGUGAGUAACCUGCCCUUGACUUUGGGAUAACUUCAGGAAACUGGGGCUAAUACCGGAUAGGAGCUCCUGCUGCAUGGUGGGGGUUGGAAAGUUUCGGCGGUUGGGGAUGGACUCGCGGCUUAUCAGCUUGUUGGUGGGGGAGUGGCUUACCAAGGCUUUGACGGGUAGCCGGCCUGAGAGGGUGACCGGCCACAUUGGGACUGCGAUACGGCCCAGACUCCUACGGGGGGCAGCGGUGGGGAGUAUUGCACAAUGGGCGGAAGCCUGAUGCAGCAACGCCGCGUGCGGAAUGACGGCCUUCGGGUUGUAAACCGCUUUCGCCUGUGACGAAGCGUGAGUGACGGUAAUGGGUAAAGAAGCACCGGCUAACUACGUG